rnacentral:rRNA from 1 species
UACGUAGGGGGCAAGCGUUGUCCGGAAUCAUUGGGCGUAAAGCGCGUGUAGGCGGCCCGAUAAGUCCGCUGUGAAAGUCCAGGGCUCAACCCUGGGAUGCCGGUGGAUACUGUCGGGCUCGAGUCCGGAAGAGGCGAGUGGAAUUCCUGGUGUAGCGGUGAAAUGCGCAGAUAUCGGGAGGAACACCAGUGGCGAAGGCGACUACCUGGCCUGUUCUUGACGCUGAGGCGCGAAAGCUAGGGGAGCAAACGGG